GGAACAACAGGGCUUGGAGUUUCAAUUACAACACUAGAUUUUGGGUUCUCGAUCGUCUCUGUUGUAAUUUUAGAAAUCGGUUGGCUGUUUGUUGUGCUUGGAGUUGGAGCUGGAGCUGAAGCUGAAGCAACAGGAUUAGUAAUUUCAAUGGCGUUUGAAGAUGGCUCACUAAUCCAAAGUGAAGAAGGAUCAUUCUCCCCUUGGUCAACCCCACUAAUUGGCCAAUUCUCCACCUCCAAAUUGUUGAAAUUAAAC
rnacentral:misc_RNA from 1 species